UACGUAGGGUGCGAGCGUUAAUCGGAAUUACUGGGCGUAAAGCGUGCGCAGGCGGUUUUGUAAGCCAGAUGUGAAAUCCCCGGGCUUAACCUGGGAAUGGCAUUUGGGACUGCAAGGCUUGAGUGCGGCAGAGGAGACUGGAAUUCCUGGUGUAGCAGUGAAAUGCGCAGAUAUCGGGAGGAACACCAGUAGCGAAGGCGGUUCUCUGGGCCGGUACUGACGCUGAGGAGCGAAAGCGUGGGGAGCAAACAGG
rnacentral:rRNA from 1 species